AUCACACAACAAUAAUGAAUGGAAACACGUCGUGGCCAAGAAAGUUGAGCAGCAACUAAAAGUAACAGUUAGUCGGCUUUUCAAAGUUUUCUGUCGUGAGAGGAAAUGUGUCGUAAGUAAUGGAUUGGCCAAACACACUAGAAAGUACUUUCUGGAGGAGAAAGCAGCUGUUCUUUUAUUGUUUCUUUUGAAAGUAAGUGUUGAAGGGAGACUACAGUGGAAAACACUGUAAACCUAACCUGUUAGUAAUUGUAAAUGGCAUUUUGGGACAUUAAUACGAGACCACUUCAUUGUCAGUUGUUUUUUCUCGGCUUUGAGAAGUGGACUGUUUGGAUUAAUCCAUUGAUGAAACAUUUGGGAUACUUUUGAGAGUUUUUGACUGGAUUAUCAUCUCUGAAGAAAACGCUGAAGGAUUUACGAAGUUUGCUGGAGAGGAAAAUAGCACAUCAGGGGCAAAAUGGGUAAUAUAGAGAGUGUGGACGGCCAGUCGGAGAUGAAGCAUCACAUUAUGCCUCUGAAGGUGCCCAUGCCUGACCCCACCGAGCUGGAGGAGAAGUUUGCAAUUGUUUUGAAUUCUAUGAACCUGCCUCCUGAUAAAGCCCGCCUCCUCAGACAGUAUGACAAUGAAAAGAAGUGGGACCUAAUCUGCGACCAGGAGAGAUUUCAGGUCAAGAAUCCACCUCACACUUACAUCCAGAAGCUACGAGGAUACUUAGACCCUGGAGUCACACGAAAGAAAUUUCGUAGGCGGGUUCAGGAAUCUACCAAAGUCUUGAGGGAGCUGGAGAUCUCACUGAGAACAAACCACAUCGGGUGGGUCAGGGAGUUCCUCAAUGAUGAGAACCGAGGCCUUGACGUCCUGGUGGAGUACCUCUCCUUUGCCCAGUGUGCUGUCAUGUUUGACUUUGAGGGGCUGGAGAAUGGGGAGGAUGGCUACUUGGAUAAGGCUAAAUCUUGGAGCAGGUCCAUUGAGGAUCUGCACCAUACAGGCACACAACCCUUCUGCAACACACUGGUGCGCUCAGCCCGCCAGUCAGUCCUCCGCUAUGGCACGGUUUCCAACAGCAAAACCAUCAAGAACUCCCGGCUCGUGAGCCAAAAAGACGAUGUGCACGUAUGCAUCAUGUGCUUGAGAGCCAUCAUGAACUAUCAGUAUGGCUUCAAUAUGGUCAUGUCUCACGCACAUGCAGUAAAUGAAAUUGCUCUCAGCUUGAACAAUAAGAACUCACGGACAAAAGCCUUGGUUCUGGAGCUGCUGGCUGCUGUCUGUCUCGUCCGCGGAGGUCACGAGAUCAUCCUCUCAGCAUUUGACAACUUCAAAGAGGUGUGUAAGGAGAAGCAUCGCUUUGAGAGACUGAUGGAGUAUUUCCGCUGUGAGGAAGGAAACAUCGACUACAUGGUUGCUUGCAUGCAGUUUAUAAACAUCGUGGUCCACUCAGUGGAGGACAUGAACUUCAGAGUCCACCUGCAGUAUGAAUUCACUAAGCUGGGACUGGAUGAUUACCUGGAGAAAUGCAAACACACAGAGAGUGACAAGCUGUCAGUGCAGAUCCAGGCCUACCUGGAUAACGUGUUUGAUGUGGGUGGUCUGCUGGAGGAUGCAGAGACGAAGAAUGCAGCACUGGAGAAGGUGGAGGAACUGGAAGAGCACCUGUCCCAUGUGACGGAGAAGCUGCUGGAGGUUGAGAAUGAAACAAUGAUGAAAGUGGCCGAUCUGGAGAAGAUACUAAUUCAGAAAGAUAAAGACCUGCAAUUAAUACGGGAGACAUACGAGUCGACCAACACCCAGGUCAACACCCUGAGGAGGGUGAUCAAAGAGAAGGAUGCCGCCUUCCAGAGACACUUCAACAUUGAGAGGCGGCUGCUGGAGCUGGAACAGCAAGGAACCAUCCGUCUGCACAAGAAACCUGACGGAGACAUCACCAUUGAGCCGCUUGGUGUCGGAGGUGGGGGUAGCGGCCUUGGCAUCCCACUGGGCGACAUUGGGCAGCUGUCUUUGGGUUCAACCGUUGGUUUGACAGAACCAGCAGGAGCAGAUGCUAGUUUACCACCGGCAUGUGAAGCGCCUCCUCCUCCGCCGCCACCUCCACCGCCUCCACCUCCUCUUCCUUCUGCCUCAGGCCCAAGUGCACCAGUCCCACCACCGCCUCCUCCUCUCGCUCCACCUCUGCCAGACGCCUCUCGCUCCGUCAUCCUCAGUGUGGGUCUUUCAGCUAUCAGAAUCAAGAAACCCAUCAAGACCAAGUUCCGCCUUCCUGUGUUUAACUGGACAGCAUUGAAGCCCAAUCAGAUCAACGGCACAGUCUUCAAUGAGAUCGAUGAUGAACGUGUGCUAGAGGAGCUUGAUCUAGAGAAGUUUGAGGAGCUGUUUAAGACCAGAGCUCAGGGUCCUAUCGUGGAUCUCUCCUGCACAAAGAGCAAAGUGGCUCAGAAAGCUGCAAACAAAGUCACACUUCUGGAUGCCAAUCGCUCUAAGAACUUAGCCAUCACUCUGCGUAAGGCUAACAAGACCACAGAGGAGAUCUGCAAAGCAAUAGAGAAGUUCGACCUUAAGGCCUUACCUGUAGACUUUGUGGAGUGCCUGAUGCGUUUCCUGCCCACCGAGGCUGAGGUGAAGGUGCUGCGUCAGUAUGAGCGCGAGCGGCGUCCACUGGACCAGCUUGCAGAGGAAGAUCGCUUCAUGUUGUUUUUCAGUAAGAUCGAGAGGCUAACGCAGAGGAUGAACAUCAUCACCUUUGUUGGGAACUUCUCUGACAACAUCAGCAUGCUUACACCACAACUCAAUGCAAUCAUCGCUGCCUCUGGAUCAGUUAAAUCCUCACCGAAGUUGAAAAAAAUGCUUGAGAUUAUCUUAGCCUUGGGUAACUACAUGAACAGCAGCAAGAGAGGCUGUGUUUAUGGCUUCAAAUUACAAAGUCUUGAUCUGCUGCUGGACACUAAGUCUACAGACAGGAAGAUGACAUUGCUUCACUACAUAGCUCUUAUUGUGAAAGAAAAGUACCCUGAACUAGCCAACUUCUACAAUGAGUUGCACUUUGUGGAUAAAGCUGCGGCAGUGUCUCUGGAAAAUGUGCUGCUGGAUGUUAAGGAGCUGGGGAAAGGCAUGGAUCUAAUUCGGAGAGAGUGCAGCCUCCAUGACCAUCCAGUCCUGAAAGGCUUUGUCCAGUCCAGCGACUCACCGCUGGACAAGCUGCAAAAAGACGCCAAGACAGCUGAGGAAGCCUUCAACAAUGUGGUGAACUACUUCGGAGAGAGCGCCAAGACGACUCCACCCUCUGUGUUCUUCCCCGUGUUUGUGCGCUUCAUCAAGGCCUACAAGGAUGCAGUGGAGGAAAAUGAACAGAGGAAAAAGCAGGAGCAGGCAAUGAGAGAGAAGUUGCUGGCUCAGGAGGCUAAACAGCAUGACCCUAAGGUUCAGGCUCAGAAGAAGAGACACCAGCAGCAGGAGCUGAUCGCAGAGCUGCGCAAGCGUCAAGCCAAAGACCACCGGCCUGUCUACGAGGGCAAGGAUGGCACUAUUGAGGACAUCAUAACAGUCCUGAAGAGCGUGCCCUUCACAGCCCGCACUGCUAAACGUGGCUCACGGUUCUUCUGUGAAGCCAACCUCUGUGACGACGCCAACUGCUAGCCCUCCCCUCCCUCUAAUGCCAAGGUUGUUCAGGUGUCUCUCGUACGCCUCCUGACCCCACUGUGCAUGCAGCAUGAUCCCUGUCACCCACUCAAACCCCACCAGCAAAACUACAACUCCUGUCGACUAACCUGGGCCGUCAUUGGUUGUUUGUUCAAUUUGAGCAGACUCCUAUCAGGCGUCUGGUGAUAGGAGUCGGCCAAACCUCUUUGCCUGUCGCAGGUGUAAAUAAAAGGUUGUUCCAUACAGUUUGUCAACAUAUUUUACAUGUAAAAAUAUGUUUGACACACUCACAGUGUUUAAAUGACCAUCUAAGGCCAUCAUGCAUGAUUUACAGGAUGUUAGAGGCUAUGAAUUAUCGUAACAUAUUUCUGAAGGCAUCCUCUUUGCUGAGCUGAAUGGAACAAUCAUAAAACAAAGAGGUUUGGCUACUUCACUGGUUUAUCAAUGAUGCCUUGUUCCAUGAAACUAACUUGUUUGGUGUUGGUUGUUUCCAAGCUAACAUGUGACUCUUCUUUCCUCAACCCACCACUGUUUAUUCUACCCCCCUCCAGCUGAGAAGAAGAUUAAUGACAGUAUUUCCCACUCCUAAGAGAGGAUCUCCGAAACCAGCCUUUCCUGCGAGCUGAUGCCUUGAUCCGGAGUGGUUGGAAGAGACCCUAAACCACUUGUUUGUCACUUAUACACCCCCCCACCCCACCCUACCCCCAUAUAAACGUCCUCUUUGUGUGUCCACGGUCUGUCUGAACCCUGAGGCUGCAGACUAAAAGAGGGAACAGGACAGAGCCCUUGUCUUAACAGGGGGUAAUUAAUUUAUUUAUGGAAGCCCUUUACAGACAUCAUUACUGAAGCACAGAGGCUUUCUCCUGUCUCCUCGCCCUGUGGGUCAGAGAAGCACUACAGAACCGGCGAGGUGAGUCCAGGACUGGUGGACUACAAAGCAGGAAGAGCAGGUGCCUUCAAACAUGUGGAUUUUAUUCCCAGGACUGUUAAUUUCCUCAGAUUAUACAGUGGUAGCAUGACUUGGAGUGGGAGGCAGCCAGGAACAAUACCAACUUUGCUGCUGCUGGAAUUUUUUUUUUGCUUGAAAAACUCUCCGCUUCAAGAUCAAACCAAGAUACUUGGGAAUCUUUCAAUCAAGACUUUACGUUGACUCCUGCUUAUUUUGAUUUGACGUGUUUCUGGGGUGAAAGAACAUUCAUUAUUCUUCUUUUUUGGACCAGCUAGCCUUACCAAAAUCUCUCAAAUGUCUCAUGUUUUGUUGAAAAAGUGCCUUUUUUGUGUAAACAGUGUUAAAUCCAGUGAGUCAGCCAUAACUUUAUUAUUUUUCAUCCUUCAUUUGUUGAAGAUUGUAUUUUUAUUUCCUUGUACUAUAACAUUAGCCUUAUAAUACCGACAAUAUGCAAGGGUUUCUAGCUUUGAUACAUCAACUAGAAGGUAAGGGGAGUAAUGAUUUUAGGAUUUCUCUUAUUUACCUGUCUUAAAAAUAAAUCAAACUGGCAUUUCUUUGUGCCUUGAGCAAGUGGUCCUUAAAAACAUAACAUUAUAAGCCUUGACAACACUUUCUGUCACACUUAACGUGACGUUUAGGAAGUGACAUAUGUAUAAAUUCCACAUGGACUGCUGUUUGAGGGAUAUAAAUGAAGGAUGGUUCUUUUCUGUUUUGAGCUUCUCCUUUUUUUCUAAAUAGAGAUGUGCUUUUUCUCCUAACAGCUGUUAAACUUUAACAUUGGCACAAAGGGAGCAAUACAUCUUUACACUACAUUUAUAUUAUAGAACAUUCAAAUCAAGAAAUGUACUUUUUGAAGAAAUGAUCCAUGAUAUUGUCUACUGACAGAAAAAUGACACCUCAUGUUUAAUAAAUAAGAUGAAUUAUGUAA